GGAUAGAUUAGUUCAACAUAGUCACCAAAUUUUGUAUUAUUUAGUGAGAGAACAUCAUCUUUAUGGCGGAACGUAAAGUUAAGGGAUAUUGCUAACUUCUUAUAUUUCUUCCUAAGAAGUUCCCAAAGUUAGAUAUUACAACACGUGAAUACUAUUUGAUCAAAUUAAUGACAUGGAACCUGCAGUUUUGUUUCUCAAUAUUUUGCCCCCCCCCCCCCCCCCCCAAAAAAAAAAAAAAAAAAAAACUAAAAUUAUGUGAUAGUCUGGCGAAAAACAGCACUUAACUUUUGCGUAAUUUAAAAAAAAUUGAUAAUACUAGGAAAUGCAGUAUUUACGUGAGUUUAGCAGACUGAAACGCAGAUUUUAGCAACAUAGCAUUGUAAUAUAUAUGCACAUGAAACUUUUUUUCUUCCUUUUUACCUUUUGUAUUGUAUUGUUUCGGUGCACACAUAAUGCCGAAUGCCUUCAUGCGUGUCUGAGACACAAUACAGGCCAUGAGUUUACUGUCCUACUAUGUAGGAGCACUGUUAUGAUAAUAAUUAC
rnacentral:lncRNA from 1 species